AGAGCACUGUACUAGGCACUUGGGAGGACAAUCCGAGUUGAUUCUCGGCGCUGAACUACAUCACCAAGGCUUGAACCCCAUUUUCAAAGAGAGACUCCAUCCGUCAUCAAUGCCUGCAGGGCUUCCCUCUCAUUCACGACUCUUGUUGUGGGUGCUUCAAUUGCAAUUUCAUUAUCACUCUAAUAAAGGAGCCACAGAAAAGUA